CCUACGGGCGGCUGCAGUGAGGAAUAUUGGUCAAUGGACGAGAGUCUGAACCAGCCAAGUAGCGUGAAGGAUGACUGCCCUAUGGGUUGUAAACUUCUUUUAUAUGGGAAUAAAACGUUCCACGUGUGGGAUUUUGUAUGUACCAUAUGAAUAAGGAUCGGCUAACUCCGUGCCAGCAGCCGCGGUAAUACGGAGGAUCCGAGCGUUAUCCGGAUUUAUUGGGUUUAAAGGGAGCGUAGGUGGAUUGUUAAGUCAGUUGUGAAAGUUUGCGGGUCAACCGUAAAAUUGCAGUUGAAACUGGCAGUCUUGAGUACAGUAGAGGUGGGCGGAAUUCGUGGUGUAGCGGUGAAAUGCUUAGAUAUCACGAAGAACUCCGAUUGCGAAGGCAGUUCACUGGACUGCAACUGACACUGAGGCUCGAAAGUGUGGGUAUCAAACAGGAUUAGAUACCCCAGUAGUC
rnacentral:rRNA from 1 species